CCGCGGUAUUUUGACCGUGCAAAGGUAGCGUAAUCACCUGUCUUUUAAAUAAAGACCUGUAUGAAUGGCAAGACGAGGGUUUUACUGUCUCCUCCCCCCAGUCAAUGAAAUUGAUCUACCCGUGCAGAAGCGGGUAUAAAAACAUAAGACGAGAAGACCCUAUGGAGCUUUAGGCAUAUAUCAAAUAUGUAAAAAACCAAAUUUUUCCAAAUAGGCCUAAAAAAUGAGAAAAACAAGUAUUAAUGAUUAAGUGCCUUCGGUUGGGGCGACCACGGGGAAAAAUAAAACCCCCACAUGGAAUGGGAAAAAUAACCCUAAGCCAAGAAAAACACUUCUAAGCAACAAAAUUUUUGACCAAUAAACGACCCAGGGACACCAUCCCUGAGCAAUGAACCAAGUUACCCUAGGGAUAACAGCGCAAUCCUUUCCCAGAGCCCAUAUCAACGAAAGGGUUUACGACCUCGAUGUUGGAUCAGGGCAUCCUAACGGUGCAGCCGCUGUAAGGG
rnacentral:rRNA from 1 species